UACGUAGGGGGCAAGCGUUGUCCGGAUUUAUUGGGCGUAAAGAGCGUGUAGGCGGCCUGACAGGUCUGCUGUGAAAACUCGAGGCUCAACCUCGAGAUGUCGGCGGAAACCGUCUGGCUAGAGUCCGGAAGAGGAGAGUGGAAUUCCUGGUGUAGCGGUGAAAUGCGCAGAUAUCAGGAAGAACACCUAUGGCGAAGGCAAUCCCCUGGGCCUGCACUGACGCUCAUGCACGAAAGCGUGGGGAGCAAACAGG
rnacentral:rRNA from 1 species